rnacentral:rRNA from 1 species
GACGAACGCUGGCGGCGUGCUUAACACAUGCAAGUCGAGCGGUAAGGCCCUUUCGGGGGUACACGAGCGGCGAACGGGUGAGUAACACGUGGGUGACCUGCCCUCAGCUCUGGGAUAAGCCUGGGAAACCGGGUCUAAUACCGGAUAUGACUCCAUGACGCAUGUUGUGGGGUGGAAAGCCUUGUGCGGCUGAGGAUGGGCCCGCGGCCUAUCAGCUUGUUGGUGGGGUGAUGGCCUACCAAGGCGACGACGGUAGCCGGCCUGAGAGGGCGACCGGCCACACUGGGACUGAGACACGGCCCAGACUCCUACGGGAGGCAGCAGUGGGGAAUCUUGCGCAAGUGGGCGAAAAGCCUGACGCAGCGACGCCGCGUGAGGGAU